GUUGUACGGCUGGCGUUUACGCGACCGUGAUCUCAGGCGAGCGGUAGACGUCCUGGAUGGCGUUGAGCAGCUCGACGCCCUCGGCGAGCGGCCGCUGGAAGGCCUUGCGCCCGCUGAUCAGGCCCAUGCCGCCCGCGCGCUUGUUGAUCACCGCGGUGCGAACGGCCUCGGCGAGGUCGCUCGCGCCCGAUGAGGCGCCGCCGCUGUUGAUCAGCCCUGCGCGGCCCAUGUAGCAGUUGAUCAGCUGAUAGCGGGUCAGGUCGAUCGGGUUGUCCGUCGUCAGCUCGUCGUAGACCUUUUUGUGGGUCUUGCCGUAGCUGCCGUUGAGCUCGUUCAUCGCCGGGUAGCCGCCGUUGUUCUCCGGCAGCUUCUGCUUGAUGAUGUCCGCCUGCAGCGUGACCCCGAGGUGGUUGGCCUGGGCUGUCAGGUCGGCGGCGACGUGGUAGUCCGUGUCCUGCUUGAAGGCCGAGUUGCGCAGGUAGCACCAGAGCACGGUGAACAUCCCGAGCUGGUGGGCGGCCUCAAAGGCCUCGGCUACCUCGACGAUCUGCCGCGUGCUCUGCUCGGAACCGAAGUAGAUCGUCGCUCCGACGCCCGCCGCGCCCAUGUCCCAUGCGCGCUUGACCGAAGAGAACAUGACCUGGUCGAACGCGUUCGGGUAGGUGAGCAGCUCGUUGUGGUUGAGCUUGACGAUGAAGGGGAUCUUGUGAGCGUGCUUGCGGCUCACGGCUCCGAGAACACCGACUGUCGAGGCGACGGCGUUGCAGCCGCCCUCGACGGCGAGGGUCACGAGGUUCUCGGGAUCGAAGUAGAUCGGGUUGGGCGCGAAGCUGGCGCCGGCGGAGUGCUCGAUGCCCUGGUCGACGGGCAGGAUGCUCACAUAGCCGGUGCCGGCGAGGCGGCCGGAGUCCAGCAGCCACUGGAGGUUGCGCAGCGUGCCGGCGGAGCGGUCGCUGUCGCGCCAGACGUCGUCUA
rnacentral:misc_RNA from 1 species